rnacentral:rRNA from 1 species
AUUGAACGCUGGCGGCAGGCCUAACACAUGCAAGUCGAACGGUAACAGGAAGAAGCUUGCUUCUUUGCUGACGAGUGGCGGACGGGUGAGUAAUGUCUGGGAAACUGCCUGAUGGAGGGGGAUAACUACUGGAAACGGUAGCUAAUACCGCAUAACGUCGCAAGACCAAAGAGGGGGACCUUCGGGCCUCUUGCCAUCGGAUGUGCCCAGAUGGGUUUAGCUAGUAGGUGGGGUAACGGCUCACCUAGGCGACGAUCCCUAGCUGGUCUGAGAGGAUGACCAGCCACACUGGAACUGAGACACGGUCCAGACUCCUACGGGAGGCAGCAGUGGGGAAUAUUGCACAAUGGGCGCAAGCCUGAUGCAGCCAUGCCGCGUGUAUGAAGAAGGCCUUCGGGUUGUAAAGUACUUUCAGCGGGGAGGAAGGGAGUAAAGUUAAUACCUUUGCUCAUUGACGUUACCCGCAGAAGAAGCACCGGCUAACUCCGUG